rnacentral:lncRNA from 1 species
GGUUGAGACCUAUGGUUACUAGAUAUUUCAUUGAUGCUUUCCAAAUCUUGGUUCAAUCAGAAAUUGUAAUCGAAUUCUUCAUUACUAAGGUCAAUAGGCUCACAUACAAUAUCCUGAAUUAGGUUCACAUCAAAGGGUUGUUCUGAUUCAUUCCCCAAGUUAAAGAUACUUAGAUCAAUGGACAUGUUCUCAAAGGAGAGCUUCAUAAGUCCAUUGCGACAAUUGAUUAGAGCAUUAGCAGUUGCUAAGAAUGAUCUCCCUAAGAUAAUCG